GGACAUACCACAAUUAGUAUUGAUGGACAGUAGAGCUGAUUCCAGUUUUUAGCUAAUAUGGAUGAAGUUGCUGCGAACAUUCUGGACAUGUCUUUUGGGAGGACAAUGUUUUUAUUUCUCUUGGAUAAAUUCUUAUGAGUGGAACUGCCAGAUCACAUGGAGAUCCGGAAGUUCUGAAUACAGACUUUACAACAUCAUCAAGGAUAGAAUAAUGCCGCCAGCCUCCUUCCCUUCCUCCCAUGUUUGCUUCUUCAGCAGCUGCCUCGAGUCGAGUCACAGAUUCCUGGCCUCAUGCCCAGCACAGACUCUGACACAGAGAAGGCAAUUAAU